CAGCAGCCGCGGUAAUACGUAGGGGGCGAGCGUUACCCGGAUUCACUGGGCGUAAAGCGGGUGUAGGCGGCUCGGUAAGUCGGGUGUGAAAUCCCACAGCUCAACUGUGGAAUUGCGCCCGAAACUGCUGAGCUGGGGGCCGGUAGAGGGAGACGGAACUGCCGGUGUAGGGGUGAAAUCCGUAGAUAUCGGCAGGAACGCCGGUGGGGAAGCCGGUCUCCUGGGCCGCGCCCGACGCUGAGACCCGAAAGCUAGGGGAGCAAACCGGAUUAGAUACCCGGGUAGUCCUAGCCGUAAACGAUGCCCACUAGGUGUGGGGGAUUAAUUCCUCCGUGCUGUAGCUAACGCGUUAAGUGGGCCGCCUGGGGAGUACGCCCGCAAGGGUGAAACUUAAAGGAAUUGGCGGG
rnacentral:rRNA from 1 species